AUUGAACGCUGGCGGCAGGCCUAACACAUGCAAGUCGAACGAGUGGCGGACGGGUGAGUAAUGUCUGGGAAACUGCCCGUUGGAGGGGGAUAACUACUGGAAACGGUAGCUAAUACCGCAUACCAUCGGAUGUGCCCAGAUGGGAUUAGCUAGUAGGUGGGGUAACGGCUAACCUAGGCGACGAUCCCUAGCUGGUCUGAGAGGAUGACGAGACACACUGGAACGCAGACACGGUCCAGACUCCUCCGGGAGGCAGCCGUGGGGAAUAUUGCACAAUGGGCGCAAGCCUGAUGCAGCCAUGCCGCGUGUAUGAAGAAGGCCUUCGGGUUGUAAAGUACUUUCAGCGAGGAGGCGUUACUCGCAGAAGAAGCACCGGCUAACUCCGUGCCAGCAGCCGCGGUAAUUC
rnacentral:rRNA from 1 species